UGAGGAAUAUUGGUCAAUGGGCGCAAGCCUGAACCAGCCAUGCCGCGUGCGGGAAGAAGGCGCUACGCGUCGUAAACCGCUUUUGUCUGGGGGUAACCGCAGGGACGUGUCCCUGCCUGCAAGUACCAGACGAAUAAGGGUCGGCUAACUCCGUGCCAGCAGCCGCGGUAAUACGGAGGACCCGAGCGUUAUCCGGAUUCAUUGGGUUUAAAGGGUGCGUAGGCGGCCCGGUCAGUCAGCGGUGAAAUGCCUGCGCUUCACGCAGGAACUGCCGUUGAUACUGCCGGGCUAGAAUCUUAGCGAGGCGGGCGGAAUGCGCAGUGUAGCGGUGAAAUGCAUAGAUAUUGCGCAGAACGCCGAUUGGGGAGCCAGCUCGCCAGCUGAGUAUUGACGCUGAGGCACGAAAGCGUGGGGAUCAAACAGG
rnacentral:rRNA from 1 species